rnacentral:rRNA from 1 species
UACGUAGGGUGCGAGCGUUGUCCGGAAUUACUGGGCGUAAAGAGCUCGUAGGUGGUUUGUCGCGUUGUUCGUGAAAUCUCACGGCUUAACUGUGAGCGUGCGGGCGAUACGGGCAGACUUGAGUACUGCAGGGGAGACUGGAAUUCCUGGUGUAGCGGUGGAAUGCGCAGAUAUCAGGAGGAACACCGGUGGCGAAGGCGGCAUCCUGGACCGGCAUUGACGCUGAUGAGCGAAAGCUAGGGGAGCAAACGGG